rnacentral:rRNA from 1 species
GGAAGGAACUCGGCAAAUUAGUACCGUAACUUCGGGAUAAGGUACGCCCCUAGUAGGUGAAAGUGUACAACUGAAGCCGAAUGGGGUCGCAGUGAAAAGGUGGCUGCGACUGUUUAACAAAAACACAGCACUCUGCAAACACGUCAAGUGGACGUAUAGGGUGUGACGCCUGCCCGGUGCCGGAAGGUUAAGUGAUGGGGUGCAAGCUCUUGAUCGAAGCCCCGGUAAACGGCGGCCGUAACAAUAACGGUCCUAAGGUAGCGAAAUUCCUUGUCGGGUAAGUUCCGACCUGCACGAAUGGCGUAACGAUGGCCACACUGUCUCCUCCUGAGACUCAGCGAAGUUGAAGUGUUUGUGAUGAUGCAAUCUCCCCGCUGCAAGACGGAAAGACCCCGUGCACCUUUACUGCAACUUUGCAUUGGACUUUGAUGAGAUUUGUGUAGGAUAGCUGGGAGACUUUGAAGUGGGGGCGCUAGCUCUCAUGGAGUCGACGUUGAAAUACCAGCCUGAUGUUAUUGAGGUUCUAACCUGGAUCCGUAAUCCGGAUCGGGGACCGUGCAUGGUGGGCAGUUUGACUGGGGCGGUCUCCUCCCAAAGAGUAACGGAGGAGUGCGACGGUACGCUUAGCGCGGUCGGCUAUCGCGCUGUAUGUGCAAUGGCAAAAGCGUGCUUAACUGCGAGACGGACAUGUCGAGCAGGUGCGAAAGCAGGUCAUAGUGAUCCGGUGGUUCUGUAUGGAAGGGCCAUCGCUCAACGGAUAAAAGGUACGCCGGGGAUAACAGGCUGAUUCCUCCCAAGAGUUCAUAUCGACGGGGGAGUUUGGCACCUCGAUGUCGGCUCAUCACAUCCUGGGGCUGUAGCCGGUCCCAAGGGUAUGGCUGUUCGCCAUUUAAAGUGGUACGUGAGCUGGGUUCAAAACGUCGUGAGACAGUUUGGUCCCUAUCUGCAGUGGGCGUUGGAAGUUUGAGGGGGGCUGCUCCUAGUACGAGAGGACCGGAGUGGACGCAUCUCUGGUGUACCGGUUGUCACGCCAGUGGCAUCGCCGGGUAGCUAAAUGCGGAAAAGAUAAGCGCUGAAAGCAUCUAAGCGCGAAACUUGCCUCAAGAUGAGACUUCCCGGGAACUUGAUUCCCCUAAAGGGUCGCGGAAGACCACCGCGUUGAUAGGUCGGGUGUGUAAGAGCAGCAAUGCUUUGAGCUAACCGAUACUAAUUGCCCGUGAGGCUUGAUCCU